CACGUAGGGUGCGAGCGUUGUCCGGAAUUAUUGGGCGUAAAGAGCUCGUAGGCGGUCUGUCGCGUCGGCUGUGAAAUCCCGAGGCUCAACCUCGGGUCUGCAGUCGAUACGGGCAAACUAGAGUAUUGCAGGGGAGACUGGAAUUCCCGGUGUAGCGGUGAAAUGCGCAGAUAUCGGGAGGAACACCGGUGGCGAAGGCGGUCUCUGGGCCUUACCCUGACGCUGAGGAGCGAAAGCGUGGGGAGCGAACAGGA
rnacentral:rRNA from 1 species